UGAGACAGUUCGGUCCCUAUCUACCGUGGGCGCUGGAAAUUUGAGAGGAUCUGCUCCUAGUACGAGAGGACCAGAGUGGACGAACCUCUGGUGUACCGGUUGUGACGCCAGUCGCAUCGCCGGGUAGCUAUGUUCGGAAGGGAUAACCGCUGAAAGCAUCUAAGCGGGAAGCCUACCUCAAGAUAAGAUUUCCCUAGGACUUUAUGUCCUCUAAAGAGCCGUUCGAGACUAGGACGUUGAUAGGUUGGAUGUGGAAGCAUAGUGAUAUGUGAAGCUGACCAAUACUAAUUGCUCGUGAGGCUUGACUAUACAACACCCAAGCAGUUG
rnacentral:rRNA from 1 species